UUCAUCCUAUGGAACAUCUAAGACCAUAUGAUGAUCCCUCAAACAACAUGUGGAGUCUUGGUGAAAAUAGUGAGUUUCAUGCAUAUCCAUUCAUAGAAGGUGUUGUUGGUCCUAGUGAACCAAUAAUAUCUACAUUCGGUGAAGAAGGUUUCCCAAGAAACGAGCUCUCGUUAAGUCUUGCCACAGAUGUUUCUAAUGAAAGCUCGGAGAUAAGCCUUUGCGCUGCUACUAAAUCUACAAGAAUAACCUCAGAGCAAGCUUCUUCCAGCAGCAAACACGUUUCUAAUAACGUCUCUCAAGUGAUAUUUGGCUCAAAGUACCUUCACUCCGUUCAAGAAAUACUAUCUCAUUUCGCCACAUACUCCCUCAACGGCAUAGAGACUAAUCCUCAAUGCUACUUUUCUUCUCGAGGAACCGAGUCAGAGGGUACAAACUCAGCCUUUGUCUCAUGUUAUGAGAAUCUAAACGAGUUUCUUGAUGGCGGUUCGCAAAGAAGAAGAAGCUAUGGAUGAGAUCCCUCUCCGACCAUACUGCAGAUCUCGACAGACACAGACAAUACUACAAUCAUGAAUAGAGAAAUAUAGAGGGAGGAUCCGGAAUAAAAAGAAUAAUUCUUAGCUUAACCUUGGCCAAAACUGUUUGCGAGUGCUUCAUCAUCAUCUUUUGUUCCGUUGAGUGCUUCCUUUGGGUGUAAAAUUAGGGCUUCGCUUUCCUGUGUUAGUUUAUUUACUUGUGGCCCAAAUCAAAGCACUACCCGUGAAUCGAUUUUUGUAAUAAAUAUAUCUUCUAUGUAUUUUAUAACUCUACAAAUUGACCAUGUUUGUUCUUUUACGUUUUUAUAAAAUUUCUUUUAAAAAACUCUGUUUUCUUUUUUUUUUUACUAAAAAAAAAAUCUGUUUUCUUAGCAAAUUACUUUCAUAAGUUAAUGAAAAUUUGGUAAAGCCAUUCACAAAUACUACGUUGUUAAACGGAUUUUCUUAUUUUAAUUUUAAUUUUAACGAUUUUAACUACUUUUUAAAAAAAUGUGUGUUUCAAUUUUUUCUUGUUAUGAAUUCAUUACUUAAUAAUGUUCAAGUGAUUGUAGCCAACUAAAAUUCUGAAUCCAAAACCGGCUCAUUCUACAAAAAUGGCCCAAAUCAAAAUAGCAUAAAUACUUCUCUUAUUGCUAAUGCUCAAGAUGAUCUCGAUAUCCCCAAGUCUCUUGCAAAGAAGGUGCCUGCGGUUGAGGCACCAAGUGCUGAAGAUCAUCACAGUGGGAACAAUAUUCAUCAGACCAUGAGCCAGUGAGACGAAUGUUCCAAAACUCUCUUCACCCGUAAGAAAAAUCUCUUAUUGACCCAAGGAGCAAGUGUUAUAAUAAGUGUAUCUUGUUUGUUGUGUUUGUGUGUGAUGAAAGGUAUCAAACUGGUUUAAAUGCGAGGGUAAGGCUAUGGAAGCCAAUGAUAGAAGACAUGUACGCAGAAAUGAACAAGAGGAAGCUGAGUAACACUCACCUUCAAGGUGGCAAUGGAGGAAGUCUUAUUAGAGUGCCAAAGUCUGUAAUGAUGAGCCAAGAAAGGGACAAAAUAAGAGAAUGAUUGUGUUACAACUUUGUUUACGCAAAAUCGCUACUUAUAAUUGUCAGAGGUUUUAAAGCACUUUACUACGUAUUAAGAUUGUUUUUAACUUUUUUGUUAUAAUUUAUUUUAUUUUUUUUGGUGUAAAUGUUAAACUCAUACCAAAGGCUUUUUGUUUUUUACAGAGUUGUUGCUUAGCAACUUAUUACAUUAGAAGGGGGAUAGAAGACAUUUGCUGUUAUAAUUGUAAUUGUAUAUACAGCUUGUUCUUUUAUCUCAUAGUAUAUUUGCUGUUUUGUAAUUUGCAUCAUGUGUUAUCAACUUAUCAUCGUCUAAAAAUGUAACAAGUUCUUGAUUGUCUUCGGCCAAACUUACGAAACACAGCGGUUUAAUGUCUGUUUUACGCGUUUUACGAAAUCAAAGCUAUGUAGUUCUGCUCCUUGGAGGUUUGCAAUUGCUUGGGAGGUUCUCUGUUGUGGUCAGCAUUGGAGCUUUGUGUCAUCUGUGGUCAGCAUUGGUCAGCAUCUGUGUCAUCUAAAUUGAAAUUUGAGUGUCUUUUCCAAGGUUCUCUGUUGUGGCUAUCUCUGAUGCGUGUUUGUGGUGAAGUUCUGUUUUUUUAAACAAUCUUUAUCUGAUUGAUACUUGACAAUCUUGUUACUUGAUGAUGGUGUUCUAGUUAUAGUCUCUAAAUGGGCAGAGAAAAUCACAUUUGAUGCAUAACAUAAGCUCCAAUGCUGACCUGUGUCAUCUAAAUUGAAAUUUGAGUGUCUUUUCCAUCUAGUGACAGGUUGUGUGAGAAAAAAAGCUUAUUGCUUAGAUUAUACAUUUCUCUAAAUGAAAGGUUGAGGACUUUUGUGUUUCAGCUUAGAUAGGAUUUCACCAACAAUGCCAAAUCUGCUAUUGCUUCUAUGAGAGGAUUGUCAGAGCUACUAAAUCAUCUGGUCGGGCGGACCUCACACUUCUAUUCCCUGCAGCGGCAGCUCCCCUUGCGGCAAGACUGCAUAAUUUAUUCAUUCAACCUCAGUGAACAGAGACAAAAGCAAAAUAAAUAUCAAACACACCCAGAGACAAAGAUCUCUCUGGAUUACCUUAGCCAAGGUGUUUCCCAGGAACGGCAACAUCUUCUUUUGUCCUCGUCGAAUUGGAGAGCCUAGGGUUUUCAAGAUUAGGGAUCUUAGUUCCAAAUUUAUUAUUAAAAAGUGUUACUUCCCUGCUACACACGGCUCAAAUCUAUUAGGAUUUUUUUUAAAUAUUAUUGGACAAAAACACAUAGGCAAUAAUUAGUGCUGAAGAUCUACAAAUGUUCAUGAGANNNNNNNNNNNNNNNNNNNNNNNNNNNNNNNNNNNNNNNNNNNNNNNNNNNNNNNNNNNNNNNNNNNNNNNNNNNNNNNNNNNNNNNNNNNNNNNNNNNNNNNNNNNNNNNNNNNNNNNNNNNNNNNNNNNNNNNNNNNNNNNNNNNNNNNNNNNNNNNNNNNNNNNNNNNNNNNNNNNNNNNNNNNNNNNNNNNNNNNNNNNNNNNNNNNNNNNNNNNNNNNNNNNNNNNNNNNNNNNNNNNNNNNNNNNNNNNNNCCAUUGAGUCCAAGUUCAAAUAAUUUUUUUUCAACUAUUCUUAAUUAUUAUUUUUUUCUUUUCUUAAUAUAAUUUAAGCAUUCAUAAAAAUAAUUGAAUUUUUUUAUUGAAAAGUAUAAAUCUUUAUUAAAAGUAUAUAAUUUUUUAAUUAAAAUAUUAACCCCAUAAUAAAAUUAAUUUAUCAGAGUUAUACCAACUUAAUUCAUUAAAAAAAUAAAGUUUAAUUUUUUUUAACAUAAAUAGUCAUUUAAAAUGAAAUACGAUAAAUAAAGAUAAAAAAUUUAAGUCUUUUAUAAAAUAAAGCACAAAUAUAUGAAAAUGUGACAUUUACUAAAAUAUUUGUCAAUUGAAAAAAAAAACAAAAAUAAACCUGCGCUUUGAAAGCGCGGGUCAAAAUCUAGUAGAGUAUUACAAUAACAACAAUAUAAAGAGUUUUACCAAAAGAACAAAAAAUAUAAAGAGUAUUAUGAUGGUUGAGCAGAGCUGCAGGUCCUUGUCAUCUUCUUUCAUGUUUGUUCUCUCCAUUUAUAGGAAAUAUGUCAUAGAAUGUACUUAAAAUAAAAUUGAGUAAAACAGAGAAAAUUUGAUAUCUAGAUUUGUAUUAAUAAGCCAUAGAAAACGUUAUAUUGAUUAUGAUUGUACAUGGAUAAACGUAAUGUAUGUAAACGUAAAUUUUAUAUCAUUGCUGUAGGAAAAAAACCGUAAGAUUUAUAACAAUGAAACACUUACUUCUUCCUUUUUGAUAAUGUGAUGUAGCUCCUUAUUUUGUAAUUCAACCACAAAUGAAAAGUAAAUAUAUAAUUUUUUUUUCUUCGGGAAGCACCAUGGUAUAAAUUUUGUUUGUCAGAUAUAUAACGUAGAAAAGAAAGCAGAGUAGGUUUGCAACAUAUAUAUAUAGGAUGGAGAUGAAGAAGAAAAAAAAACAGUUUCAAAACACCAAACUAACACAAGACCAGAAGCAAGCCACUAUUAAAUUAGUACGAGAGUGCGGAAAAAACACCAAACAAGGCAACACAAAAGACAAUCAAUUGUCGCCUAGACAUUAUCAUCCAGUUCCUGCCAUUCAUGAAAUAAAACAAAUGUGGUUUGAACAUAUGAUUUAUUUAAUAAAAUGUAUCAAACUUGAAUUACCUUUUCAUUACGGGCACGUUUCUCUUCAAGACGCUUCUUCUCAUCAUCAAAAAAUCUGUGUACUCUAUACCAAUCCUCUCUUCUCUUUAAAAGAUCUGAAAGAUACAUUCAUUGGAAACAGGAAAGAAAAAUAGUUACCUUCUAGAGAAUUAGUGUUGGAAACAUCUAUAAAAUUAAUUCAAAAAACCAUACUUAUGGAAGCUUUGACGAACCAUCCACCAAAGAACGCUAAACCAAGAACUAAUCCGUCCUGCUCCUCCCAAGCAUGCUUGACCCUCGUGGACAUGGGGGCAGAGGCGAUGGAUGAGAUCCCUUUCCGACAAUACUGCAUAUCCCGACGACACAGACAAGACUACAAUCACGAAUACAGAGAAAUCGAGAGGGAGAGAUCCGGAAUAAAAUAUGAUUCUUAGCUUAACCUUGGCCAAAAUCAUUUGCGCGUGCUUCAUCAUCAUCUUUUGUUCCGCUGAGUGCUUCCUUUGGGUGUAAAAUUAGGGCUUCUGCUUUCCUUUGUUAGUUUAUUUACUUGUGGCCCAAAUCAAAGCACUACUCGUGUUUCCUUGAAUGAUUUGAAUCAAUUUUUGUAAUAAAUAUAUCUUCUAUGUAUUUUAUAAUUCUACAAAUUGAUCAUGUUUUUUUUUUAAGAAAAAAAUCUCUGUUUUCUUAUCAUAUUAUUUUCAAAAAAAAAUUAUAUUGCUAAUUUGUUUUCAUAAGGUAAUGAAAAUUGAAUCUUGAGGGUGGUAAGUUCAUUUUCCACAGAACAGUUCUCCUCUAGCCCCAACCCGAAAAUGCUAUAUCAUAUCGCUCUUUAGAUUCUCAUAUACCGCAGGUCAUCCGUGAGACCAACUCAUGAUUGGCCGAUAAAGCAGAAGCUCUUCACUUUGGAUGUUAUGUACUUUCCCGACAAACCGAAUCCUGAUAACUGUCCUCAAGAUGUGUAUGGCUCUCUUGUUGAUGCUGUAGGACAUGUUUCAGACAUGUCUAAUAAGUCUUCCAAGUUAUAUUUGGUUCAACGUACAACAUGUGGAUCGUCUUGGAGAAAAUAGUGAGUUUCAUGCAUAUCCAUACGUAGAAGGUGUUGUUGGUCUUAGUGAACCAAUAAUAUCUACAAUCGGUGGCAAAGAAGAUUUCCCAAGAAACGAACUCUCGUUAAGUCUUGCCACAGAUGUUUCUGAUGAGUGCUCGGAGACAAGUCUUUGUGCUGCUUAAAUCUACUAGAGGAACCUCAGAGCAAGCUUCUUCCAGCAGCAAACACGUUUCUAAUAACGUCUCUCAAGUGAUAUUUGGCUCAAAGUACCUUCACUCCGUUCAAGAAAUACUAUCUCAUUUCGCCACAUACUCCCUCAACGGCAUAGAGACUAAUCCUCAAUGCUACUUUUCUUCUCGAGGAACCGAGUCAGAGGGUACAAACUCAGCCUUUG
rnacentral:lncRNA from 1 species